AGGGGUGUAGGGAAGAGGUCAUCCCGCGUGUUUUGGAAACACGAGAUCGCUGGUUCGAAUCCAGUCAUCCCGA
rnacentral:tRNA from 1 species